CGGGUGAGUAAUGUCUGGGAAACUGCCUGAUGGAGGGGGAUAACUACUGGAAACGGUAGCUAAUACCGCAUAACGUCGCAAGACCAAAGAGGGGGACCUUAGGGCCUCUUGCCAUCGGAUGUGCCCAGAUGGGAUUAGCUAGUAGGUGGGGUAACGGCUCACCUAGGCGACGAUCCCUAGCUGGUCUGAGAGGAUGAUCAGCCACACUGGGACUGAGACACGGCCCAG
rnacentral:rRNA from 1 species